CGGUCUCAGCGUCUGUGGUGCG
rnacentral:miRNA from 8 species